ACUAUUUUGGCAGAAUAAGUGUAAUAAAUUUAGAAUUUAUUUAUGUAGAUUAUUUUUCUACAUUUAGUA
rnacentral:tRNA from 1 species